GACGAGAAUAACAAUUGGAAACAGUUGCUAAGGCUGGAUAGGAAAUAAUGAGGCAUCUCGUUAUUUUUAAAAGACCUUCGCAAGAAGGUAUGCUUAAAGAGGGGCUUGCGCCACAUUAGUUUGUUGGUAGGGUAACGGCCUACCAAGACGAUGAUGUGUAGCUGGACUGAGAGGUUGAACAGCCACAUUGGGACUGAGACACGGCCCAAACUCCUACGGGAGGCAGCAGUAGGGAAUUUUCGGCAAUGGAGGAAACUCUGACCGAGCAACGCCGCGUGAACGAUGAAGUAUUUCGGUAUGUAAAGUUCUUUUAUUAAAGAAGAAACGCUAGUGGAAAAACUAGUUUGACGUUAUUUAAUGAAUAAGCCCCGGCAAACUAUGUGCCAGCAGCCGCGGUAAUACAUAGGGGGCGAGCGUUAUCCGGAAUUAUUGGGCGUAAAGGGUGCGUAGGCGGUUUAGUAAGUCUCUAGUUUAAAUUCAACGCUUAACGUUGUCCCGCUAGAGAAACUACUAGACUAGAGUAAGAUAGAGGCAAGCGGAAUUCCAUGUGUAGCGGUAAAAUGUGUAAAUAUAUGGAGGAACACCAGAGGCGUAGGCGGCUUGCUGGGUCUUUACUGACGCUGAGGCACGAAAGCGUGGGGAGCAAACAGGAUUAGAUACCCUGGUAGUCCACGCCGUAAACGAUGAGUACUAAGUGUCGGGGGGUUUCCUCGGUACUGAAGUUAACACAUUAAGUACUCCGCCUGAGUAGUACGUACGCAAGUAUGAAACUUAAAGGAAUUGACGGGAUCCCGCACAAGCGGUGGAUCAUGUUGUUUAAUUCGAAGAUACACGAAAAACCUUACCAGGUCUUGACAUUAUCCUGCGAAGCUAUAGAAAUAUAGGGGGAGGUUAUCAGGAUAACAGGUGGUGCAUGGUUGUCGUCAGCUCGUGUCGUGAGAUGUUAGGUUAAGUCCUAAAACGAGCGCAACCCUUGUCGUUAGUUACCAGCACGUUAUGGUGGGGACUUUAGCGAGACUGCCAAUGAAAAAAUUGGAGGAAGGUGAGGAUUACGUCAAAUCAUCAUGCCCCUUAUGAUCUGGGCUACAAACGUGAUACAAUGGCUAUUACAAAGAGCAGCUGAAACGUGAGUUGUUAGCUAAUCUCAAAAAAAUAGUCUCAGUUCGGAUUGAAGUCUGCAACUCGACUUCAUGAAGUUGGAAUCGCUAGUAAUCGCGAAUCAGCAUGUCGCGGUGAAUACGUUCUCGGGGUUUGUACACACCGC
rnacentral:rRNA from 1 species